rnacentral:sRNA from 1 species
AGAGGGCGAGGGGUGCAUGUGCGUCCGCUUCUCACCUCAGGUCUCCCUUCGGCCCCGCUGCCCUCCCUCGCGGCUGGGUGACAGCUGGGUCCGGUCCGUCGCGGGCUGCCUGGGGUGCGAGGAUCGCGCACCCCGUCUUCGCGCGCGGUGCCUGCCGCCCCGCCCCCUCGUCCCGCCCGUCCCGUCGCGUCCCGUCCCCUCGGGUGCUGCCAGCCGGGUGCUGAUGCGGGUCGGUGGCAGCGAGGACAUUUUCUGACUCCCUGGCCCCUGACACGGCUGCACUUUCCAUCCCGUCGCGGGGCCGGCCGCUACUCCGGCCCCAGGAUGCAGAAUGUGAUUAAUACUGUGAAGGGAAAGGCACUGGAAGUGGCUGAGUACCUGACCCCGGUCCUCAAGGAAUCAAAGUUUAAGGAAACGGGUGUAAUUACCCCAGAAGAGGUGAGUGCUGAAGAUAUACUGAAGUCUUUUUAUUUUACAAUAAUACUAAACUAGGUGGCUUUUCUGCUUCAUAAGAAAACAUCUUGAACUUUAAUUUUGAUUUGAGUAAAAUUAGGUUUUAUGACUGUGAUUUAUGGGAAUUUCUACUUCCCAUAGAAGAAAAGAUGUAACUUCCCCGUCAGUUUGCCACUUCUCAUAUUUCUCUGUAGUUCCUCUUUAUUUAGAAAUGAGGGUGAAA